AGGAUUUUACCCAAAACCAAGGAGGCGUCGCUCCUCAUCCUUCUCUGCAGCCAUCGCCUCCACCACACCUGCCACAUCAUCAUCUGUCUCCUCAGACGGGUACACCUCAUCACUUGCCACACUCUCGACCUCCCCGUUAUCAGAAGGAUAAUAGGCCUCAGCAAUUUCACUGCCCACACUGCCCUCAUCAUCACUCUCAUCAGGCAUCCCACAGUCGCCUACCUUGGCAAUACGGUGCAGGAGCCCAUCCGGGUUCUUUGCAACAUACUCCUCAGCAGCUUGAAUCACAAGGGGUUUGCAUUUCAUAUCCACGGUUGCAUCGAGUAAUCCAACACGCAGAAGGGAAUCAAUGGACGGGACAGACAGCCGGUUACACAGCCUGUUCUUGAUAAUGCGGUGGACACUAAAGCCACGCUCAACACACGCUGUUUGAGUGGGAAAGACACAAGCGACAUACACCAACUGAAUCAAGCGUGGAAAGAAGUGGACCCACUGAUGCAUUCCAGCCCAGGCCCGCUCCCAGGAGGCGCGGCCCAGCUCCAACUGCAAGGCCAUCUUAGACCUCAUAACUGAAAACGCUUUUUGCAAAACGUCAAGUUCGCUGACAUCGAAGGCAAACAGGCGGUUAGAGCUUGCCGAGUGGCAAAAGUGUGCUAGCAACUUCACGAACUCCUUACGGCCAUAGCCACGCCGCUCUUCCUCAAGACAUCCUCACAUAUGUAGCAGGAUCAAAAAUACGAAAGCACUUCAGAAGCUCAGUGUCUCCAAAACGUGCAUCCAAAUGCUUCAAAGUUAAACCCACAAACCGACAAGCAACCGACAGCUGCUGACAAAUGCUACAGCCACCAAUCGCGUGGCCUUGCUUAUUUUUGCCGGUUUGCUGCCACCAGGGAUACUUCGCCGCAAAGGCUGCCUGCCCAAUGUCAGAGACAGACGCCUUCGGUAGCUUGCCUGACAAGUCGACCACCUCAGGUGCAGCCUGAGCAGGCGGGGGUUGAGCCAUCAUUGGCUGCCCAGGUGCUGCUGCAGUGUAUAACAGCGAUUGCUGGUUAGUUUUCUGACUACAUUCAUAAUAACGAUGCAAGACUGUCGGUCGACAAAACGUUUGAAAUUUGCAGCGACCUUAUCGAAACUUACAGUAAAUGUUCACUGAAAAAUGUUCAGCAGCUUUGCCAUUAGCAGCAGGAGUAGAAGUGACUGGGGAUUUCUCUGCAUAGUACGAAAACUGCCCCUAGGUAAGAGGAGUCACACGAGCCGCGGUACCCUCCGUCGCUGUGGGAAUCGAAGCCACAACAGCCACCAGGUGUCGGAUGAAAAUAAGUUCAUCCUAUCCAGGCCCAGCACAUCCUUCACCGCCGCCAACUCCAUGCACAUCACCCCCGCAAUGCCUG
rnacentral:lncRNA from 1 species